AUAUACAAAUCAAGAGAAUUAAGGCUGGCUAUGUUUGUUCUUGUAUCUGUUCAUUAGGUUUCAUGGAAGUCAAUCAAUUACUGUAGCCACAAUUCAUCAUCUUCUUGCCAACUCAUUGACUCACAUUGGAGCAUUUGCUGAAGCUAAGCAAAAUAAGAGAAAAGCAUACAAUAUCUAUAGGACUAAAUUUGGCCCAGAUCAUGCACGUACUGUUCAGUCUU